rnacentral:sRNA from 1 species
AAAAUUGCAAUGGUUCUCGUGGUGGUGCGAUCGCGCAUGGGCAGGAUGGUUUGACCAUCCGGCGUUAAGCACCCAUGCGCGGCAAACAGGCUCCUGACGGGGCCUUUUUUUACGC